rnacentral:rRNA from 1 species
GUAACAGGCCGCAAGGUGCUGACGAGUGGCGAACGGGUGAGUAAUGCAUCGGAACGUGCCCAGUCGUGGGGGAUAACGCAGCGAAAGCUGUGCUAAUACCGCAUACGAUCUAUGGAUGAAAGCGGGGGACCGUAAGGCCUCGCGCGAUUGGAGCGGCCGAUAUCAGAUUAGCUAGUUGGUGAGGUAAAGGCUCACCAAGGCGACGAUCUGUAGCGGGUCUGAGAGGAUGAUCCGCCACACUGGAACUGAGACACGGUCCAGACUCCUACGGGAGGCAGCAGUGGGGAAUUUUGGACAAUGGGGGCAACCCUGAUCCAGCCAUGCCGCGUGAGUGAAGAAGGCCUUCGGGUUGUAAAGCUCUUUCGGCCGGGAAGAAAUCGCAUGGGUUAAUACCCUGUGCGGAUGACGGUACCGGCAUAAGAAGCACCGGCUAACUACGUGCCAGCAGCCGCGGUAAUACGUAGGG